CCCUUAGAGUUUGAUCCUGGCUCAGAUUGAACGCUGGCGGCAGGCCUAACACAUGCAAGUCGAGCGGUAACAGAUUGAUAGCUUGCUAUCGAUGCUGACGAGCGGCGGACGGGUGAGUAAUGCCUGGGAAUAUGCCCUGAUGUGGGGGAUAACUAUUGGAAACGAUAGCUAAUACCGCAUAAUCUCUUUGGAGCAAAGAGGGGGACCUUCGGGCCUCUCGCGUCAGGAUUAGCCCAGGUGGGAUUAGCUUGUUGGUGGGGUAAUGGCUCACCAAGGCAACGAUCCCUAGCUGGUCUGAGAGGAUGAUCAGCCACACUGGAACUGAGACACGGUCCAGACUCCUACGGGAGGCAGCAGUGGGGAAUAUUGCACAAUGGGGGAAACCCUGAUGCAGCCAUGCCGCGUGUAUGAAGAAGGCCUUCGGGUUGUAAAGUACUUUCAGUUGUGAGGAAGGCAGUAAAGUUAAUAGCUUUGCUGUUUGACGUUAGCAACAGAAGAAGCACCGGCUAACUCCGUGCCAGCAGCCGCGGUAAUACGGAGGGUGCGAGCGUUAAUCGGAAUUACUGGGCGUAAAGCGCAUGCAGGUGGUUUGUUAAGCAAGAUGUGAAAGCCCGGGGCUCAACCUCGGAACAGCAUUUUGAACUGGCAGACUAGAGUACUGUAGAGGGGGGUAGAAUUUCACGUGUAGCGGUGAAAUGCGUAGAGAUCUGAAGGAAUACCGGUGGCGAAGGCGGCCCCCUGGGACAGAUACUGACACUCAGAUGCGAAAGCGUGGGGAGCAAAACAGGAUUAGAUACCCCUGGGUAGUCCCACGCCGUAAACGAUGUCUAC
rnacentral:rRNA from 1 species